GUAGGGAAUUGUUCGCAAUGGGCGCAAGCCUGACGACGCAACGCCGCGUGGAGGAUGAAGACCUUCGGGUCGUAAACUCCUUUCGACCGAGAUGAAUACUCGCUGACCUAAUACGUCGGCGAGCUGACAGUAUCGAGGGAAGAAGCCCCGGCUAACUCCGUGCCAGCAGCCGCGGUAAUACGGGGGGGGCAAGCGUUGUUCGGAAUUACUGGGCGUAAAGGGUUCGUAGGUGGCCUGCUAAGUCAGACGUGAAAUCCCUCAGCUUAACUGGGGAACUGCGUCUGAGACUGGCGGGCUUGAGUGCAGGAGAGGAACGCGGAAUUCCAGGUGUAGCGGUGAAAUGCGUAGAUAUCUGGAGGAACACCGGUGGCGAAGGCGGCGUUCUGGACUGCUACUGACACUGAGGAACGAAAGCCAGGGGAGCAAACGGGAUUAGAUACCCCGGUAGUCC
rnacentral:rRNA from 1 species